rnacentral:rRNA from 1 species
AGAGUUUGAUCCUGGCUCAGGACGAACGCUGGCGGCGUGCUUAACACAUGCAAGUCGAACGGGGAGUUAGCAAUAACUCCUAGUGGCGAACGGGUGAGUAACGCGUAGACAACCUGCCUCAAAGAUGGGGACAACACCGCGAAAGUGGUGCUAAUACCGAAUGAGCAAUGUGGACCACAUGGUCUAUAUUGGAAAGGUGGCCUCUUUAAAUGCUACCGCUUUGAGAUGGGUCUGCGUCUGAUUAGCUAGUUGGUGAGGUAAAGGCUCACCAAGGCGACGAUCAGUAGCCGGUCUGAGAGGAUGAACGGCCACACUGGGACUGAGACACGGCCCAGACUCCUACGGGAGGCAGCAGUGGGGAAUCUUCCGCAAUGGACGAAAGUCUGGCGGAGCAACGCCGCGUGAGUGAAGAAGGCCUUCGGGUUGUAAAGCUCUGUCUUCGGGGACGAAUGUGAGCAAGGUAAAUAAUCUUGUCAAUGACGUACCCGAGAGA